UCAAGUGACUAAGUGCAUGUGGCGGAUGCCUUGGCGAUCACAGGCGAAGAAAGACGCGGCAGCCUGCGAAAAGCUGCGGGGAGCUGGCAAACGAGCUUUGAUCCGCAGAUAUCUGAAUGGGGGAACCCACACCGCAAGGUGUAUCCGUGACUGAAUACAUAGGUUACGGAGGCGAACGAGGAGAACUGAAACAUCUAAGUAUCCUCAGGAAAAGAAAUCAACCGAGAUUCCGGCAGUAGCGGCGAGCGAACCCGGAGGAGCCUAGCUUUUGAUAGUACGAACUUUAGCCGAAAGGUCCUGGAAAGGCCUGCUAUAGUGGGUGAUAGCCCCGUAGGCGAAAGAGUUCGUAUGGUACUAAGGAAGCGAGAAGUAGAGCGGGACACGUGGAAUCCUGUUCGAAGAUGGGGGGACCAUCCUCCAAGGCUAAAUACUCGUGAUCGACCGAUAGUGAACCAGUACCGUGAGGGAAAGGCGAAAAGAACCCCGGGAGGGGAGUGAAAUAGAACCUGAAACCGCAUGCAUACAAACAGUAGGAGCCUCGUCAGAGGUGACUGCGUACCUUUUGCAUAAUGGGUCAGCGACUUACAUUCUGUGGCGAGCUUAACCGAAUAGGGGAGGCGCAGCGAAAGCGAGUUCGAAAUGAGCGUCCAGUCGCAGGGUGUAGACCCGAAACCAGAUGAGCUAUCCAUGGCCAGGUUGAAGGUGUGGUAACACACACUGGAGGACCGAACCGACUAGUGUUGCAAAAUUAGCGGAUGAGCUGUGGAUAGGGGUGAAAGGCCAAACAAAUCUGGAGAUAGCUGGUUCUCCCCGAAAACUAUUGAGGUAGUGCCUCGUGUGUCGCUCCAGGGGGUAGAGCACUGUUUUGGCUAGGGGGACAUGGAGUCUUACCAAACCAAGGCAAACUCCGAAUACCUGGAAGCGUAAGCACGGGAGACAGAGCACCGGGUGCUAACGUCCGGACUCAAAAGGGAAACAACCCAGACCGCCGGCUAAGGUCCCCAAUAACAGCUAAGUGGAAAACGAAGUGGAAAGGCCGUGACAACCAGGAAGUUGGCUUAGAAGCAGCCAUCCUUCAAAGAAAGCGUAAUAGCUCACUGGUCGAGUCCUUCUGCGCGGAAGAUGUAACGGGGCUAAGCUGUUAACCGAAGCCGCGGAUGCACUGAUUAUUCAGUGCGUGGUAGGGGAGCGUUCUGUAAGUCUGCGAAGGCGGUUCGAGAGGACUGCUGGAGAUAUCAGAAGUGCGAAUGCUGACAUGAGUAACGUUAAAGCAGGUGAAAAGCCUGCUCGCCGUAAGCCCAAGGAUUCCUGCUCUACGUUCAUCGGAGCAGGGUGAGUCGGCUCCUAAGGUCAGGCCGAAAGGCGUAGCCGAUGGGAAUCAGGUUAAUAUUCCUGAACCUGCGUCAGAUGCGAUGGGGGGACGGAGCAUGAAAGAUCAUCCGGGUGUUGGAUGUCCCGGUUGACGAGCGUAGGAGGUCUGCAGGCAAAUCCGCAGACGCAUCUCCAAGGCGAAGUCACGUGCCGCCACGGCGGCGAAGUGAUCGGAAGUGCUUCCAAGAAAAGCCUCUAAGCACCAGUCUGACGCGGACCGUACCGCAAACCGACACUGGUGGGCGAGCUGAAUAUGCUCAGGCGCUUGAGAGAACUCGGGAGAAGGAACUCGGCAAAUUGACACCGUAACUUCGGAAGAAGGUGUGCCGUAGUAGCGUGAGAGGAGAGACACCUUGAGCGUGAAUCGGUCUCAGAGAAUAGGUGGCUGCGACUGUUUAUUAAAAACACAGCACUCUGCAAAGUCGAAAGACGACGUAUAGGGUGUGAUGCCUGCCCGGUGCUGGAAGAUUAAUUGAUGGGGUGAGAGCCCUUGAUCGAAGUCCCAGUAAACGGCGGCCGUAACUAUAACGGUCCUAAGGUAGCGAAAUUCCUUGUC
rnacentral:rRNA from 1 species